AGAGCUCAGAGACGGCCAUAAUUCUUUGCUGUUGACCAAGUAUCCAUCCUGUGUAAGUCAUAUUCGGCUUGAUAAAACAUGACGAUAUUAUUGAACCAAUUGGGUUGGGCGGAGGGCUUGCCAGCAGGUAUUUAGGUAUGUCAUCUCACCCUUGCUAGAGUUAUGCCGGAUAGUCAAUGGCAGCAUGGGAAUGGCCAAGCCUUUCCUUGCCAGUGGGCACAUUUUAGUGGAGGUUGUGCUUACAUGACGCAGUGCCUAAUGGCCAAAGCAGCGAUGAAGAUGUGAACUUGUCACAAGUGCAGUUAACGUAAUCCGACAGAGCCAUGCCAUGACAAGCCAUUAGCAUUGAAUUCACAAUGGGGAUGAUGAAUGAGCAGAAUGGGAUGACAGCAGGUCUCCUUGUGGCCGGGUCUAUCUAUGCACGUAGGAAAUGGGACCUAAAAGCUUCCUGAAACGUGGGGAAGGCAACCCAAACUCCCGAAACUCAUCCCGAGUCAAUCUCUUCGGCUAGAGGGUUACACUAAACUGAAGCUGCAUCCCCCCGGUGCAGGACACACACUCUGGGGCAGGUGCUGUAUUGUGUGUCCUGCACGGGCCAGCUCUUGUACGGUCCACGAAAUCGGCUCAAGGGUUGCAGGUGGCGGAUGAUGGUGGCAGAUGUGAUGCAAUAUGGCGUUGUUGUGAUGGUUGAUGAUUGUUCAUGGGUUUCGGCAUAGAGGCGGGGUCUCAGCCGAAGGCCCGGCACUGUCCAGCAACCUCCAGCUGCACUCAGAAGACGGGGUCGAAAGAAUGUGGAUGUUAGAAGGGGCCGGACAUUAUGAGAAGGGUUGGUGGUAAGCC
rnacentral:lncRNA from 1 species